rnacentral:rRNA from 1 species
ACGGAAUGCUUAGGCAUUUAUGUGGCGGACGGGUGAGUAACGCGUGCAGAUAUUUGGCUUCAGGUCGGGGAUAACAGUUGGAAACGACUGCUAAUACCGGAUAUGCCGGGAGGUGAAAGGCUAGCUGCCUGAAGAUAAGCUCGCGUCUGAUUAGCUAGUUGGUGGGGUAAGAGCCUACCAAGGCGACGAUCAGUAGCUGGUCUGAGAGGAUGAUCAGCCACACUGGGACUGAGACACGGCCCAGACUCCUACGGGAGGCAGCAGUGGGGAAUUUUCCGCAAUGGGCGAAAGCCUGACGGAGCAAUACCGCGUGAGGGAGGAAGGCUCUUGGGUCGUAAACCUCUUUUCUCARGGAAGAAGUUCUGACGGUACCUGAGGAAUAAGCAUCGGCUAACUCCGUGCCAGCAGCCGCGGUAAUACGGAGGAUGCAAGCGUUAUCCGGAAUGAUUGGGCGUAAAGGGUCUGUAGGUGGUGCUGUAAGUCUGCUGUUAAAGAGCAAGGCUCAACCUUGUAAGAGCGGUGGAAACUACAGGACUAGAGUGCAUUCGGGGCAGAAGGAAUUCCUGGUGUAGCGGUGAAAUGCGUAGAUAUCAGGAAGAACAUCGGUGGCGAAAGCGUUCUGCUAGGCUGCAACUGACACUGAGGGACGAAAGCUAGGGGAGCGAAUGGGAUUAGAUACCCCAGUAGUCCUAGCCGUAAACGAUGGAUACUAGGCGUGGCUUGUAUCGACCCGAGCCGUGCCGGAGCUAACGCGUUAAGUAUCCCGCCUGGGGAGUACGCACGCAAGUGUGAAACUCAAAGGAAUUGACGGGGGCCCGCACAAGCGGUGGAGUAUGUGGUUUAAUUCGAUGCAACGCGAAGAACCUUACCAAGACUUGACAUCCUGCGAAUCCUAGUGAAAGCUGGGAGUGCCUUCGGGAGCGCAGAGACAGGUGGUGCAUGGCUGUCGUCAGCUCGUGUCGUGAGAUGUUGGGUUAAGUCCCGCAACGAGCGCAACCCUCGUUUUUAGUUGCCAGCAUUAAGUUGGGCACUCUAGAGAGACUGCCGGUGACAAACCGGAGGAAGGUGAGGAUGACGUCAAGUCAGCAUGCCCCUUACGUCUUGGGCUACACACGUACUACAAUGCUACGGACAAAGGGCAGCAAGCGCGCGAGUGCAAGCAAAUCUCAUAAACCGUAGCUCAGUUCAGAUCGAAGGCUGCAACUCGCCUUCGUGAAGGAGGAAUCGCUAGUAAUUGCAGGUCAGCAUACUGCAGUGAAUUCGUUCCCGGGCCUUGUACACACCGCCCGUCACACCAUGGAAGUUGGUCACGCCCGAAGUCAUUACCCCAACCGUGAGGAGGGGGAUGCCUAAGGUAGGACUGGUGACUGGGGUGAAGUCGUAACAAGGUAGCCGUACCGGAAGGUGUGGCUGGAUCACCUCCUUUUUAGGGAGACCUAAUCCAUUUGGAAAUCGAAAGCAAMCCGCAAUUAGAUUCUAAAUUGGUCUACUCUAGGUCGGUCGA